rnacentral:rRNA from 1 species
UUCGUAGUGACCUGCGGAGGUCAUUG